UACGUAGGGGGCAAGCGUUGUCCGGAUUUAUUGGGCGUAAAGAGCGUGUAGGCGGCUAUACAGGUCCGCUGUGAAAUCCCGAGGCUCAACCUCGGGUCUGCAGUCGAUACGAGCAAACUAGAGUGUUGCAGGGGAGACUGGAAUUCCUGGUGUAGCGGUGAAAUGCGCAGAUAUCAGGAGGAACACCGGUGGCGAAGGCGGGUCUCUGGGCAACAACCGACGCUGAGGAGCGAAAGCGUGGGGAGCGAACAGG
rnacentral:rRNA from 1 species